UUUAUACUCUCUCCGUCCCAAAAUUCUUGUCUUAAGUUUGUUUAGUAAUGAAUGUAUCAAAAUAUUAAAACGUGACUAGAUACAUUUAUAUCUAGAUAAAUUUAAGACAAUUUUUUUGGGACGGAGGAAGUAUUUG
rfam:Hordeum vulgare subsp. vulgare, WGS project CAJW01000000 data, contig: morex_contig_1580965